rnacentral:rRNA from 1 species
AAUAUUGCGCAAUGGAGGGAACUCUGACGCAGCGACGCCGCGUGAUCGAUGAAGGUUUUCGGAUCGUAAAUCUCUGUCCUUGGGGAAGAAGGUCUUCGGACUUGACGGUACCUAAGGAGGCAGCUCCGGCUAACUACGUGCCAGCAGCCGCGGUAAAACGUAGGGGGCAAGCGUUUUUCGGAAUUAUUGGGGGUAAAGGGUGUGUAGGCGGACUUUUAAGUCAGGUGUGAAAGCCCACGGCUUAACCGUGGGAUUGCAUUUGAAACUGAAAGGCUUGAGUAUCGGAGAGGGUAGUGGAAUUCCCAGUGUAGCGGUGGAAUGCGUAGAUAUUGGGAGGAACACCAGUGGCGAAGGCGACUACCUGGACGAAAACUGACGCUGAGGCACGAAAGCUAGGGGAGCAAAC